rnacentral:rRNA from 1 species
UCAGGAAUAUUCCGCAAUGGACGAAAGUCUGACGGAGCAACGCCGCGUGCAGGAUGACGGCCUUCGGGUUGUAAACUGCUUUUAUAUGGGAAGAUUAUGACGGUACCAUAUGAAUAAGGACCGGCUAACUACGUGCCAGCAGCCGCGGUAAUACGUAGGGUCCAAGCGUUAUCCGGAAUCACUGGGCGUAAAGAGUGCGUAGGCGGGUGUUUAAGUGCGAUGCGAAAUCUUGUGGCUCAACCAUAAGACUGUAUCGCAUACUGGAUACCUGGAGGAAUGCAGAGGCAAGUGGAAUUACCGGUGUAGCAGUGAAAUGCGUAGAUAUCGGUAGGAACACCAAUGGCGAAGGCAGCUUGCUGGGCAUUAUCUGACGCUAAGGCACGAAAGCGUGGGGAGCGAACAGG